UCUCCACUCUAGACUAUUUGACUUGGGCAGAGCCUUAGCCUCUCGCACCGAGAUCACCUGUUUAUCCCACCUGAAACAGAGGAGAGGGAGUGUGUUGUGAGCAUGAGUAGACAUCUGUGUGUGUGGGAGUUCUAAAUGGCAUGUUAUGGUAUUGUAGGCAUAAACUUCAGAGCUCAGUCAGAGGUCCUCGGAGCGUCCAGCAACGCUGCCAAAAGGUUGAAGGUCAGUUUCCACCUGUUGCAGUCCCUCAGAUAGCAACAUGACACCAGAGAGAGGGGGGAGUGGGAGGAGAGUACAUACCAGCUGUGACAGCAGUAAAUGACGAUAGUCGCUCAUCGAAACUCCAUAUUUGAGUCCAAUCCCAUCAACAUCAAAAUCAAGCGGCGCACCAGGAACUAGUACUAAUCCUAAUGUUGAUGACGAUGACCUUGACACAAGCUUUAGUAGUGCAGAGCCUGUAGACCCACUGGAUGAAAGCUUUCAGCCUGGAAAAAUCUCAAGCUCAACAUCAUCUGACUUUGAAACAAGCCAGGACAGCCAAAGGUAUUUAUGAA